AGGAACUUCUUUCUUGAUUCUCAAGUUUUUCUUACAAAUUUCUAAGACAACUUCAAGAUUGAGCAUAAGUGGAUAGUACUUGAAAGGAGUCACUCUGUACAGAACGACUACCAUAGCUGGCAUCAGACUCACUAAGCAAAGCAGAAGAAUCUUGAGUUUCUUAGAGGAAGUCAAAUCAAAGAGGAACGGGCACAACCUGGUCAACUAAAUCAGAUGCCAUGUCUGAUGUUGUCCUUUCCUUCUGUCCUGAUGUAUCUACUUCUGGGACUUUCCAGACUUAUUUCAGAUUCCUUCUGGGUAGUACCCAACCACAAACAUCAGUCGUAAGUUAGUAGCCUGAUUAUGCAUUUAUUCAUUGGGUAUCAGUGCCAUUAUUCUUUGAAGAGAUACUUCCAUCCUGCCCUUCUUAGGAAGUCUUUUGACACAUUAGGUAAGUACAGAUAUGUCCCGUCAUCACAGCUUUGUGUGACAGAAAGAACCCAGUCAAGUCUCAGUGUAAAUCCCAGCUCCUAGGACUCUGUUUCAUCACCUGUAAAAUGGGGGUGAUAUGUACCACCUUCCAGCCCCUUCUAUUGGUGCAGGAGGCCUUUCCUUCCCAGACAAGGUAGGCCGGAGACUUCCAGAUGGGUCAAAGUCUCAGAGGCGUCUUAAGCAAGUGAUGAAGCUAAGCCAGUGAAUGCAAACACAGCUUGACAAAUACCAGUACUUUCUUUAAACCACAGUAAUACCCCUAAGAAGGUGUUUGCUCCCAUCAUCCCUAAGCAAAGAUAUUCUUUGGCUUCCUACUACAUACCAAAAUUGAGAGAACUUUUCUAUCCAGUAACAGUAACCACACUGUCAAUAUUUUGAAAUCGGUUUUCAUUAUUAAAUUAGAAAAAGAAAAUGCCUGCCUCUGUCUUAAACCACAAGGGGGCAGGGUUGAUGUGCUUUAUAUAUACUUUUAAGUAGAUUGUGCAUAUCUGAUUAUAGGGACAGGCAGAUAAAUACUCUUUAUAAAACCUAAUGUAAAUGGACUUGUAAGCCCUCCAAAUUAAGAAUUACUUAACAUGCUAUAAUUUGCAUGUUAAGUGACAGUUUAUAAAGCUCCUUCGUUGGCAUUAUUAGGUCACCAUGAUAUUUCAGAGCCCACCUUAAUUCAGUGCUUAGCAAAUAAUUUUUACUGCUAGACUGAAAUUCCAAAAAUAGUGCAGUUAUAUGGAGCAUAUUCCUUGUCCAGCUUGCAGUCACGCGUUGAUGUUGAUGGAGGAGAAAUUUUACAAUAGGCAGAGGAACACAUUAAAGGUAGAAAUACAGUAGAAAGGCUAAAUGUGCCUCGUGAUGAAAAUCUAGUGGUGAAAUACCAGAAUAGUAAUCAGGAGAAGACCCAAAACAAAGCUUGAUGAUGUGAAAAAGGAGAAGGACCCAAUAAUCUAAAUAAAUGCUAAUAAUGACUUUUUUAACAUCUCAUCACAGAGAAUCAGCCUACUUCAUGAACUGGCUGAGACAUUUGACACAGCCCUGUGAAUUCACCACUAAUCUUUGUGCGCUUGUGUUUUUGGGUGGGGGGGAGUGGGGGGAGGGUGCUGGAGGUUGGGGAUAGAGGUAUGAAAGGAGGGAGGGGCAUCCAUUUUAGGGAUAUGGAACCCAGAGAAGCCCUUAAUUGUCCUUGCACUCAGCCCUGUACCCCCUGUGCUUCUGACUCUUCCCUUCCUCAACUGCCUCUGUCUCUUUAGCAGGUGGAAAGCUUUGGCGUGAAGCACGCAGAAAAUUCCAGGAAUUGUGCAGUUAUAUAGCAGGCCUAUGAGGCAAACCUCUUCAACACAAACACACACCUUCUACUUGGGCUUGAUGGGGUAGCAUAACUAUUGUGCCAAUUUCUGAUAUGUUUCUUCCCCCAAGCCAUAUGAAUGGAGAAAACUAAGCUCUGGCAAUGCAGAAGAGCCUUCCACACUCUGCCCAAAGAGACACAGCCUGGUUAAAAUACAUUUGAACUCCCUGAAUCCAUCACCAUCACAAGCAGUAUGAUGGCUUUUAAAGCAAGGUCCCUGAACCGGCAGCAGCAUCUCCUUGGGAAAGAUUAACCAGUCAAGGCACACUAAAUCAAACUCUGGGGAUGUGUUUUAACAAACCCUCCAGCGAGUCUGCCGUACAUGUUCGAGAACAAACACUCUUGCCACAUUUAGCCUGUCCGUCUAUGACAAAGGCUAGAUAGCUGUCAAAAACCAGACCAGACUGGGAAGGUUCCCAGGACCAGAUCAUUUGGCAGAGUUGCAGGCUGUGAGGGGUUUGAAGCUAAUGGUGCCAGGUCACCAGCCCAGGACUAGAAAAAAUGCAAAAUGGCAUGUUCAGGGUUCUCUGGAUCUAUGAUAUUGUGUGACAAGUGGCAAGCAAACUUGGCAUUUUCUAAACGGGUGAUGAUGUAACAGAGUCAUAACCUGUUUUCCUGGAUCUCUUGCCAGAUUUCUAGGGCUUCAACAUGUAAAAUGUGAAGUACUGUGGAUUUCAUACCCCUACACUGAGUAGCAUACCUCAUGCUCUCUCUUAUAUGAGCUGACAAGCACUGUAACUCUCACGUGCUGCAGAUAUUCAUACAGAGAAAAUUCUUCAUCAUUAGUUCUGGUACUAAAAAUGAGGCUGUACCGAGAAAACAAACAGGGACUUGCAUUUUCUCAACCCAAACAUUUUGCCAGAUGCCAUGUUUUGUGUUAAGAGGAAUUAAUAAGAAAAAUCUUACAAACCUAGGUGCACCUGUUUUAUAUAUUCAAUCAAUGAGGCUUUGUUUUUAUUCCAGAAGAAUGGAAGCUUCUCCUCAUGAGGAUAUUUACAGCACGACAGCUCCAAUGUAAUUUCAAAACACUGGGCCCAGAUGUAGUUGUAAUCUUGCAUUCCACCUAAACACAAGCAUAUUUAAUUUUUUAAGGUCUAAAAUUGGAACAGAGUCAAGUAUCCUGUACCUUGGGGACAAAUGAAUCCGUUGCAAAGAAAGUACAUUUAAACAGGAAAAGAUGAAUUUGACAUAUUAGCAUAUAAAGUCACGGCCUGCCAUUUUAUUACCCAGGCAUGAACAGGCAAUCCUAAAUGUUCCCAUAUGGGUAACUGGAUCAGAGCUAAGGUUCAACUGUGCAUCAAAAUCAACUGAGGGGCAGGGGAAGGGUCAGCCUUUUUUUUCCCCCUGAUCAUACAUUACAAACAGGAUUCGUCAAUGUACACUUCUUCUGUGAAAAUCAUUUUAAACGGAGAGUGAUACUUCUAAAAAAUGUUUUUGCAAACCAUUCAUAAAUACACAUGUAAGCUAAGUAUACUCAUUCGGCGGAAUAAUAGUGGCUGACAUUUAGUGAGUGUUCACUAUUACCGGGCACCGUUUGAAGAGUUUGUCGCCCGUAUUUUACAGAUGGGGAAACAAUCACAUACGGUAAGUAACGUGCCAGUGAAGGCCGAGCCCAGAGCACAGGCUGUCUUGCGGACCCCGUGCUCUUAUGACACCAAACUGCUUCAGGGGAUGAAAGAAAGGCUGCUGUGCUAACUCUCGGGAGAGAAGGGACCCAGGCCCCCUUGCGUCCGGGGCUGCCGUCACCUGUGCUCAGUUUCUGGUUCUUACCUCUGAAAACCCAGUUUUCAAAAGGGUAUAAUCAUAUUUCCUAUCUUCUAAGAUGCAAGAUUUUCAUAUUUUAAAAUCUCUGAAUUGGAUGUGUCUUAAGUUUGAUGGCUAAAAACCAGCAUUGUGGCAUGAGUUUGGCCAGAAACAUUUGUUUUUUCUUCCUUGGUGGUAUGGUGUAUUUUCCAACCAGUGGCAUCUUGGAUUUUGAAAUAUGGUAACUUUGAAGGAAGGACUUUCGGCCAGAUUUCAACUUGUUGUACUUGAUAUCUGCCUAUAAAAUACAUAUUCUCAAUUCCAUCAGGGUAUUUCGGAAGUACUGAAUUAGAAAAAAAGCUCAUACUAAGAAAAUAGUCAAGAUACAUCAAAAUAUUAUCUAGAUUAAUAUCUACGUAGAUCUAGAUUCUAGCAGGAGGAAUUUCUAUGUCCUUUCUGGAUCCUUUACUCACCUUCUAAGUUUUGUAUUUCUCUCUGAGAUCAUUUUCACCAAGAAAUAGAAAACAGAAAAAAGGAUGAGAAUAAUAAAACAGAAGCCCUUGGCUGGACGGCUCUCGGACAGAAAGAAUUUAAAUGGCAAAACAGGCGUACAGAGCACGCAGGGGUGAGGAUGCUUACGUGUGGAGAGUGUGUGCGCCUGUGGAUGAGGCACGCCGGGCCCCGAGGACAAAACCUCCAGGCUGAGCCAGGAUGCUGUGUUCUAAGGUCCUCAACGUAGCUGGCUCUGCCUGCGUUUUCCCUCAGGAGACACAGCCGACACACAGCGACACUCGGAAACAAUUCCCAACGGCGACACCAGGUUCCUAGCUAACCUCCCGCAAGCACACCUGGAUGUGUCCGGAAGGUGACAGAUGACGCUCGUGCAGGACCGCUCUGCCACGGGGCGGGAGGGAGCCCUGUCCUCCCUGGGGGAGUGCUGAGCAGGGACUAGGCUUGCGGGGCGGGGCAGGGCGGGCUGUGCUUUGUCCAACAGAGAGUGGGGGUGCGGUGCUGUCUCGCUGGCCCUGCAGCUCCCAGUCGUGGUCUGUGCUAAUUCCCAUCACCUGGAAAGCUGGCAGAGACACACAAGUACCAGCUUGUGCAAGGCAACCUGACGGUCUGUGUGUCCACAGUGACGACGGGGAAAGUGGCCUAUCACCCAAGUACGGCCUACGGCCUGCUAGAGGUAGGUCUCAAAC